CCUACGGGUGGCAGCAGUGGGGAAUAUUGCGCAAUGGGCGAAAGCCUGACGCAGCGACGCCGCGUGAGGGAUGAAGGUCUUCGGAUCGUAAACCUCUGUCAGCAGGGAAGAACGGUCACUGUGCUAAUCAGCAGUCACUUGACGGUACCUGCAAAGGAAGCACCGGCUAACGCAGUGCCAGCAGCCGCGGUAAUACGGAGGGUGCGAGCGUUAGUCGGAAUUACUGGGCGUACAGCGCUCGUAGGCGGUAUGGCAAGUCAAGGGUGAAAUCCCCGCGCUUAACGUGGGAACUGCCUUUGAAACUGGUAAACUAGAGUGUGUGAGAGGUAAGUGGAAUUCUAGGUGUAGGAGUGAAAUCCGUAGAUAUCUGGAGGAACACUAGUGGCGAAGGCGACUAUCUGGCACAUAACUGACGCUGAGGCGCGAAAGCGUGGGUAGCAAACAGGAUUAGAUACCCGGGUAGUC
rnacentral:rRNA from 1 species